UACGUAGGGUGCGAGCGUUGCCCGGAUUUCUUGGGCGUAAAGGGCGCGCAGGCGGCUACGCACGUCCGUUGUGAAAUCGCUCGGCUCAACUGGGCGGGGUCAGCGGAUACGGCGUAGCUGGAGCAAGCUAGGGGGCAAUGGAAUUCCCGGUGUAGUGGUGGAAUGCGUAGAUAUCGGGAGGAACACCAGUGGCGAAGGCGGUUGCCUGGAGCUUUGCUGACGCUGAGGCGCGAAAGCGUGGGGAGCGAUCCGG
rnacentral:rRNA from 1 species